GGACUACUGGGGUAUCUAAUCCUGUUUGAUCCCCGCACUUUCGUGCCUGAGCGUCAGUUACUCCUUAGUAAGCUGCCUUCGCUAUCGGUGUUCUUGACGAUAUCUAAGCAUUUCACCGCUACACCGUCAAUUCCGCCUACCUCAUCAGUACUCAAGCCCCGCAGUAUCAACGGCACCUCGACAGUUGAGCUGCCGUAUUUCACCGCUGACUUACAGGGCCGCCUACGCACCCUUUAAACCCAAUAAAUCCGGACAACGCUUGCCACCUACGUAUUACCGCGGCUGCUGGCAC
rnacentral:rRNA from 1 species